CAAGUCGAACGGAGUUCUUAAGGAAUGCGACUUCGGUCAAAUGACUUUUGAACUUAGUGGCGGACGGGUGAGUAACGCGUGAGCAACCUGCCUUUCAGAGGGGGAUAACAUUUGGAAACAGAUGCUAAUACUGCAUAAGAUUACAGUACCGCAUGAUACAGUGAUCAAAGGAGCAAUCCGCUGAAAGAUGGGCUCGCGUCCGAUUAGAUAGUUGGUGAGGUAACGGCUCACCAAGUCGACGAUCGGUAGCCGGACUGAGAGGUUGAACGGCCACAUUGGGACUGAGACACGGCCCAGACUCCUACGGGAGGCAGCAGUGGGGAAUAUUGCACAAUGGGCGAAAGCUUGAUGCAGCAACGCCGCGUGAGGGAAGACGGUUUUCGGAUUGUAAACCUCUGUUUUCGGUGACGAAUAAAUGACGGUAACCGAGUAGGAAGCCACGGCUAACUACGUGCCAGCAGCCGCGGUAAUACGUAGGUGGCAAGCGUUAUCCGGAAUUACUGGGUGUAAAGGGAGCGCAGGCGGGAUAGCAAGUCAGCUGUGAAAACUAUGGGCUCAACCCAUAAACUGCAGUUGAAACUGUUAUUCUUGAGUGGAGUAGAGGCAAGCGGAA
rnacentral:rRNA from 1 species